rnacentral:tRNA from 2 species
GGGCCGUUAGCUCAGUUGGCAGAGCAGCUGACUCUUAAUCAGCGGGUCGUAGGUUCGACUCCUACACGGCCCACCA